rnacentral:rRNA from 1 species
AACGAACGCUGGCGGCGUGGAUAAGACAUGCAAGUCGAGCGGGAUUUUUUCCUGUAGCAAUACAGGGAAAAAUCUAGCGGCGAACGGGUGCGUAACACGUGGGCAAUCUGUCUUAAAGUGGGGGAUAGCUCGGCGAAAGCCGAAUUAAUACCGCAUGUGAUCAGAGGCGACAUCGUCUCGAAAUCAAAGGUGGCGCAAGCUACCGCUUUUUGAGGGGCCCGCGGCCUANCAGCUUGUUGGUGAGGUAACGGCUCACCAAGGCUAUGACGGGUAGCUGGUCUGAGAGGACGACCAGUCACACUGGGACUGAGAUACGGCCCAGACUCCUACGGGAGGCAGCAGUAAGGAAUCUUCCACAAUGGGCGAAAGCCUGAUGGAGCAAUGCCGCGUGCAGGAUGACGG